GACGAACGCUGACGGUGUGCUUUAGACAUGCAAGUCGAACGAGAAAGCCCUUCGGGGUGAGUAGAGUGGCGAACGGGUGAGUAACACGUGGGUAACCUGCCCCUCGCAGAGGGAUAACCGGGGGAAACCCCGGCUAAUACCUCGUACGCUUGCCGGGUCGCAUGGCUCGGCAAGGAAAGGUAGCUUCGGCCAUCCGGCGAGGGAUGGGCCCGCGGUCCAUUAGCUAGUUGGUGGGGUAACGGCCCACCAAGGCGACGAUGGAUAGCUGGUCUGAGAGGAUGAUCAGCCACACUGGGACUGAGACACGGCCCAGACUCCUACGGGAGGCAGCAGUCGGGAAUCUUGCGCAAUGGGCGAAAGCCUGACGCAGCAACACCGUGUGGGCGACGAAGGCCUUCGGGUCGUAAAGCCCUGUUGUUGGGGACGAAGGACGAAGGGUUAAUAGCCCCUAGUCUGACGGUACCCUUCGAGGAAGCCCCGGCUAACUACGUGCCAGCCGCCGCGGUAAAAC
rnacentral:rRNA from 1 species